CAAACAUAUACUUGUGCUUUGUUAAUUUAAUAAGUGUUUUCACUUUCUACAAACUUUCAGGAAAUUGAUUGCUACAACUUUGCUCUAAACUUAAUACAGGGCGAUGUUAUAAGAGCAACCCUCUUCGAAGAUGACAUACAAGCUUAUGAUUCUUUAAUUCAACAGAAUCAUGAGUUUCUGAUUUCGAAUCAUGAGUACCAAACCAGAGUUGGGGAAUAUCAAAUGGCAUUUAGUAAUCGCACCGUAAUUCAAGCAAUUGGUUCCUCUUCACAAGCUUCCGGUCCAACUUAUCAUUCAAUAACAACUAUUCCUAGAACAAACGGGUCUUUAUGAUAAAUUUGAUAUGAUUGGUGUUGUUAUUUUCAUUGGAGACAAGCGCAUGGUAAGAUGUGUGUUUGAGCAGCAAAACAAUGUGUCUAAAAUUAUUGUCACUGAUCAUAGCUCACAUCAGUCCUUAAUUGUGUCGGCAUGUAAUGAUAUGGAAGACUUCUUUAAAACAAAGCCUGUUGAAAAUCACAUCAUUGGUUUCACAUCUCUAAGGGUUACAUGUCACAAGGGGCCUCUUCUCAUGGAUCCUUGCUUCGGGAGCGCAAAGCACAAAUCCUGAAGACUCGCAUGCCCUUAAACCAAAGACAACUAACCACAAUUAAAUUCAUGAAAAGCAAGACGGUAUUAGCUCCCACUUUCUACUUAUAUCAGUUUAUUAUAUGUUUCAUGAAAAAAUUAAACAUGCUUGCUUACAAAGGGAAUUUUGUUUAUACAAAGCUAGCUUAAUUUCUUAUACAUUACAAAUCUGAUUAUGAAAUGUGGUUUAU